UUCCUUUCACUUCACCUCCCCGACCCACAGCUGCCUCUGCCCCUCCAGCGCCUGCGGCCAGGAUGGAGGGAGGGUGGCCUGGGCCCUUCUGGGGGACACCCAGGGUCCCUGUGUGCACCUCAUGCCCCACCCCCACCAGGGAAGGUGAGUGUCCCAGAGGAGGAGCUGGACGCCAUGCUGCAGGAGGGCAAGGGCCCCAUCAACUUCACCGUCUUCCUCACGCUCUUUGGGGAAAAGCUCAAUGGGACAGACCCCGAGGAAGCCAUCCUGAGUGCCUUCCGCAUGUUUGACCCCAGCGGCAAAGGGGUGGUGAACAAGGAUGAGUUCAAGCAGCUUCUCCUGACCCAGGCAGACAAGU
rnacentral:sRNA from 1 species